UCUCUCCCUGGUGGUGGAGCUUGUGCCAGCAUUCUCCCAGCAGCGAAGCCUCAAACUAUGAGAGGCCUCAGCAGCAAUAGCAGCCAUCCCACGCUGGAGCAAAAACCAGAGCCACGAGUUUCCAGGGGUGCUAUUCAAAAACACUGUCAGAGACUGGCUUUCCAAACAAAGAUCUUCCCAACAAACUAAGAGAGCUACUCCUCAUCCAUAGCAUUUUCCAGUCACAGCUGAAGUUACAAUGAUUCCUAAUGUUUGUGUCAUAUGGCAUAUGCUCACUCUCUACCAUAUUCGGAAGCACAUGGGACUGGAUCUCAACACAUGACUGGUCUUGCCAAAUGCUGCACUAGCCGUCCUGUGAAACUGCAGCUUGCUACCCCUGCCAGGCAACACUCACACAGCCUAAUAAACAAACAAGAGCAGGAAGAAGACAAGGAGGAAGGGGAAGGAGGAAAAGGCUGCAUAAAAUAA
rnacentral:lncRNA from 1 species